AACGAACGCUGGCGGCAUGCCUAACACAUGCAAGUCGAACGAACCCUUCGGGGUUAGUGGCGCACGGGUGCGUAACGCGUGGGAAUCUGCCCUUUGCUUCGGAAUAACUCAGGGAAACUUGUGCUAAUACCGGAUGAUGUCUUCGGACCAAAGAUUUAUCGGCAAGGGAUGAGCCCGCGUAGGAUUAGGUAGUUGGUGGGGUAAAGGCCUACCAAGCCGACGAUCCUUAGCUGGUCUGAGAGGAUGAUCAGCCACACUGGGACUGAGACACGGCCCAGACUCCUACGGGAGGCAGCAGUGGGGAAUAUUGGACAAUGGGCGCAAGCCUGAUCCAGCAAUGCCGCGUGAGUGAUGAAGGCCCUCGGGUCGUAAAGCUCUUUUACCAGGGAUGAUAAUGACAGUACCUGGAGAAUAAGCUCCGGCUAACUCC
rnacentral:rRNA from 1 species